rnacentral:rRNA from 1 species
UGGGGAAUAUUGCUCUAUGGGCGCAAGCCUGAUGCAGCCAUGCCGCGUGUGUGAAGAAGGCCUUCGGGUUGUAAAGCACUUUCAGCGGGGAGGAAGGCGGUGAGGUUAAUAACCUCAUCGAUUGACGUUACCCGCAGAAGAAGCACCGGCUAACUCCGUG